rnacentral:misc_RNA from 1 species
GAAGUCGUUACUCCAACCCUUGUGGAGGAGGACGCCGAAGGUGGGGCUAAUGACUGGGGUGAAGUCGUAACAAGGUAGCCGUACCGGAAGGUGCGGCUGGAUCACCUCCUAACAGGGAGACAACAAAAUGUAAAUAUUAAUUUUGUCACCUUAGGUCGAUCGGUAUCUCAGAUUCUUAUUUUUUUAAGAAUUUCAGUUUCUAAGUUUUUUCUAGGUCACACCCAUCACUUUUCCUGGGCCAUUAGCUCAGGUGGUUAGAGCGCACCCCUGAUAAGGGUGAGGUCCCUGGUUCAAGUCCAGGAUGGCCCAUAUCUCUAUGUUGGGGGUAUAGCUCAGUUGGUAGAGCGCCUGCUUUGCAAGCAGGAUGUCAGCGGUUCGAGUCCGCUUACCUCCACUGAAUACCACCUCUUACAUAUAGUUGAAGUGGGAAAUUGUUUUGAGUCGUGUCCUAAUUUGCUCUGAGCGAAUCUAGCUUCCUAUUUUAUCCAAGAAAUAAGAUGCUGGACUCAUUGAAUUUUUUUUCAUUGUUUUCAGAGAACCUUGACAACUGCAUAGAUUAUUUUUAAAGACAAUAAGCAUCUUUAAUGAUGCAGAUUUAUUAUUUGUGCGAAUGCAUUAAAUAACAAUUCUAUUAAGCUGAUGCUUCAAUUAUUGAAGUUAUUGGUCAAGCUACAAAGGGCUCACGGAGGAUACCUAGGCACACAGAGGCGAUGAA